UAGGUUUCUUCUCACUCUACAGUGGUGAGAGAGAGAGAGAGAGAGAGAGAGCUAUAGAGCUAUAGAGCUAUAGAGCUAUAGAGCUAUAGAGAAAGUUUAUGUAAGUCAUAAUGGUAAAUUAUUGUGUUUGUGCUGGUUGCACAAAGUCCAGCCUGUCAGGAAAUCGUGUACAUAAUUUUCCUUGUAGGAAAAGCAAGGUUUUUCGUUUUGGGGUGCGUUUUGUGCAGGUGAAGUGAGCAGACUUCACUGCCGCGUCUGUCACCACACUCGGUCGUUUGUGGUGCUCAUUUCACUCCGGAGAGUUAUAGACCUGGAGAUUUGUUGGAGUCUCGGAUGGGAUUUUGGAGUAAGGACAAUGUGAGGCUUAUUACCGAUGCUGUUCCCUCGGUACACUCGAUGGAAUCAAGUCCACCACCAUCAAAGCUUUCACCUGAAUCUGGCGCGGGCAGGACUGGAGGACAAAGUGCUAGCACUUGCAGAAAUUCCAUGCGUCGAAAAUGAGCUCCUAGCAGAAUUUUGGCAGAGCGUGCAGCCAGUAAUGAAGGGAUAGAUGCACCUGACAGAGGGCUUCUCUCUACAGGAUCCUGGGCCAUUAGUACUUCGUCGUGGGUCACAGUGCAACAUCAGAUGUCUGCAAAGCUCAUCAGUUUUCCUUGGACUAGGGUGGCCCCUAA